UACGGAGGGUGCGAGCGUUGUCCGGAAUCAGCUAGGGCGUAAAGCGCGUGUAGGCGGCCAGCGCAGGUCCGCUAGUGAAAACUCGAGGCUCAACCUCGAGCUGUCGGUGGAAACCGCGUGGCUAGAGUCCGGAAGAGGAGACUGGAAUUCCCGGUGUAGCGGUGGAAUGCGCAGAUAUCGGGAGGAACACCCGUGGCGAAGGCGGGUCUCUGGGACGGUACUGACGCUGAGACGCGAAAGCGUGGGGAGCGAACAGG
rnacentral:rRNA from 1 species